ensembl:lncRNA
UUUGUCCCUUGUCGCGUCUCGUAGGGACCAGGUCUGCUUGAAUCGAAGGGAUAACUUUCAUGAACACACCCAAAAUCGCAGCUAGUCAGAGGCAAUAUUUUGAUAGAAUGACUACUCUUGUUGUGAAUGCGAUACAACGCCUGAUUGUCUAAUAUUAGUUGACAGUUACAGUCAGUGUUUCACACUGUGAGUUAACCUACAUUAAACAUUACUUCUUACAUUCGAAUCCACGCAUCUUAUCUAGCUUGCAAGCCCGCUAACGGGUGCCUCUCCUGCAUCAGCUAUACAAUGGAUGAAGAGUUAGACUGCAAACCAAGUGUUACGCCCACUUGUAAGACUGAACCGGAUCCUAUGGAACCGAUGGAUGCCAUACCUAACAUUAAUGGUUUAGAAGCAGAACAUUUGGGAAUUAAGGUGGAGGUCAUUGAAGUAGAAAACCCGAAAGAGGAGGAGGUGGAUGAAACCUAUUCGGAUGCCCCGCACACCUCAUGCAAAAAGCGUUUUAACUCUGAGGAGGAGGCGAUACUGUGCAGGGAGGUGCUCGCCCACUGGGACGAGCUCUUUGGCCAGCGGCGCCACCUGCUGCCCAGGGCAGGCCGAGGUUCCAUUUGGAACGAGGUGGCGGCGACCGUCCGGUCCUCGUCCGGGGUGGCUAGGGAGGGCGAAGAGGUCCGCAAGAAGUGGUACCACUUCAACAACCAGCUGAAAGCCAAGCUGGCGGUGAUUAGCGCCUCGGGAGGAGAGAACGGGAACCCCGGGCCCGAGGCGCUCAGUGAGCUGGAGGCUGAAGUGGCCUCUAAGAUGAAGGAGACGACCGCUAGAAGAGAUGCUGGACGCGUAGCCCAGGGAUUACCACAGGAACUUGACAAAACCUCAGUAAAAUGCCAGGCCUACCACAAGCGCUUCAGCAAAGACGAAGAGGAGAUUUUAUACGAGGAGAUCCUGCAACACUGGGAAGAGCUUUUCGGCGAACGUCACAACCUCCUACCUCGCGGCGGCCGCUCCGCAAUCUGGAACAACAUCGCCGACAAGAUGAACGGCAAGUCCGGGUCGAGUGUCGCCCGCGACGGGGAGGACGUGCGGAAGAAGUGGUGCAACCUCAAGAAGCGACUCCAGCCGAAGCUUUGUCCAAUGGCAGCCAUCCAGCCAGGGGAGCUUGGAGAGGGUGGGAGCACUGCAGAGGAUCUCAGCCUGUUGAAGCAGAAGAUUGUGUCCAGGAUGAAGAAGGAUGCAGCUGACAGUGAGACGGGGACUAGCACCACCUGUAGCCGGCGUUUCUCCAAAGAGGAGGAAGACCUUCUCUACGCUGAGAUUCUCAACCACUGGGAGGCGCUGUUUGGCGAGAGGAACCAGCUCCUGCCCCGCGGCAGCAGCGCCCCCGUUUGGACCCUCGUCACGGCCAAUCUGAACGCCACGCCGGGGGCCCGGCCCAGAGACGUGGAGGAAGUGCGCAAGAAGUGGCACAACCUGAAGAACCAGCUGAAGGCCAAGCUGGCGCCCGCCUGGGCAUCGGAUGGCAGAGGCGGAGGUCAGCAGGGGCUCGUCCAGCUUACGCCACUGGAGGAGAGGAUCGCCUUCAGGAUGAAGAUGGCCAUCGCUGGGUCGAGGGCGCCCAACGACUGCGCCGGGACAAUCCUUGGUGACCCAUCGCAGACUGAAGAGAGCAUGUCCGACCGCUCCAACACAGAACAUCUGUUGCAGGACCCCCUAGCUCCUCUUUCUCCCCCUCCAUCUCCGUCUCCUCCUCCUCUUCCUCCAUCUCUGCCUCCUCCCCCAUCCACGGUGAUCACAUUGACGCCCCAAGCCGUUCAGAUGAUCCUGACCAAACAAGAUGAAAACAACCGUCUGCUGAGGGAGACCCUCCAGGUCCAGAAAGCCAGCCUCGAGGUCCAGAAGUCGUGCGUGAAGGCCUUACAGGAAGUGCGGGUGGCGCUGGUGGGCCUCGCGGAGUUCCAGAAAGCCCGGGUGGAGCUGGGCAUGAAGUCCGCCGGACCGCUGGGACAGUGCUGCGCUCCACCGGGGGCUUCGCUCGAGCAUCGCGGCUCCGCGGAAGCUGCUCUUGUGGAUCCUGUGCAAACGCUAGCCAGCGCGUUGUCUGUCGUAGCCAGCACCUUCCCUAGUUCUGACACCAGCGGCACCACCACCACCGUCACACCGACCACCACCGUCACACCGACCACCACCGUCACACCGACCGCCACUCCUCCAUCAGCAGGCCUACCACAGCACCCCUCCCCUCCUGUCUCCCCUCCAGGGGGCGCUGUUCCUCCACAAGCUCAAAAGAAAAAGAGAGGACGACCACCAAAGAACAUAGGAGUAGCUUCUCCUUCCUAUGGGAAAAAGAGAGGACGACCACCAAAGAACAUAGGAGUAGCUUCUCCUUCCUAUGGGAAAAAGCAAAAGACCUAAUCCAGC